AUGAACGCUAGCUACAGGCUUAACACAUGCAAGUCGAGGGGCAGCAUGGUCUUAGCUUGCUAAGACUGAUGGCGACCGGCGCACGGGUGAGUAACACGUAUCCAACCUGCCGUCUACUCUUGGACAGCCUUCUGAAAGGAAGAUUAAUACAAGAUGGCAUCAUGAGUCCGCAUGUUCACAUGAUUAAAGGUAUUCCGGUAGACGAUGGGGAUGCGUUCCAUUAGAUAGUAGGCGGGGUAACGGCCCACCUAGUCUUCGAUGGAUAGGGGUUCUGAGAGGAAGGUCCCCCACAUUGGAACUGAGACACGGUCCAAACUCCUACGGGAGGCAGCAGUGAGGAAUAUUGGUCAAUGGACGAGAGUCUGAACCAGCCAAGUAGCGUGAAGGAUGACUGCCCUAUGGGUUGUAAACUUCUUUUAUAAAGGAAUAAAGUCGGGUAUGGAUACCCGUUUGCAUGUACUUUAUGAAUAAGGAUCGGCUAACUCCGUGCCAGCAGCCGCGGUAAUACGGAGGAUCCGAGCGUUAUCCGGAUUUAUUGGGUUUAAAGGGAGCGUAGAUGGAUGUUUAAGUCAGUUGUGAAAGUUUGCGGCUCAACCGUAAAAUUGCAGUUGAUACUGGAUAUCUUGAGUGCAGUUGAGGCAGGCGGAAUUCGUGGUGUAGCGGUGAAAUGCUUAGAUAUCACGAAGAACUCCGAUUGUGAAGGCAGCCUGCUAAGCUGCAACUGACAUUGAGGCUCGAAAGUGUGGGUAUCAAACAGGAUUAGAUACCCUGGUAGUCCACACGGUAAACGAUGAAUACUCGCUGUUUGCGAUAUACUGCAAGCGGCCAAGCGAAAGCGUUAAGUAUUCCACCUGGGGAGUACGCCGGCAACGGUGAAACUCAAAGGAAUUGACGGGGGCCCGCACAAGCGGAGGAACAUGUGGUUUAAUUCGAUGAUACGCGAGGAACCUUACCCGGGCUUAAAUUGCAGAUGAAUUACGGUGAAAGCCGUAAGCCGCAAGGCAUCUGUGAAGGUGCUGCAUGGUUGUCGUCAGCUCGUGCCGUGAGGUGUCGGGUUAAGUCCCAUAACGAGCGCAACCCCUACCGUUAGUUGCCAUCAGGUCAAGCUGGGCACUCUGGCGGGACUGCCGGUGUAAGCCGAGAGGAAGGUGGGGAUGACGUCAAAUCAGCACGGCCCUUACGUCCGGGGCUACACACGUGUUACAAUGGGGGGUACAGAGGGCCGCUACCACGCGAGUGGAUGCCAAUCCCCAAAACCUCUCUCAGUUCGGACUGGAGUCUGCAACCCGACUCCACGAAGCUGGAUUCGCUAGUAAUCGCGCAUCAGCCACGGCGCGGUGAAUACGUUCCCGGGCCUUGUACACACCGCCCGUCAAGCCAUGGGAGCCGGGGGUACCUGAAGUGCGUAACCGCGAGGAGCGCCCUAGGGUAAAACUGGUGACUGGGGCU
rnacentral:rRNA from 1 species